ensembl:lncRNA
AGCCACUUGAAAAAGCCAAUCAGCAAAAUGAAACUCCCUGCCCACCUCAAUUAACUCCCAAAUGAGAAUGAGGAUGAAGUCUUUUCGGCAGGAGAGACCUGAAGGAAACUGCAGGAAAUGUGCCAUACUUAGUGUCAUUCUGUAUGCAGUGCUGUCAGAUUCUAAGAAUGUCAAAAAUAAAGAGAGAAAGAGAGAAAAAAGAGGAUGAGGAGGUAAAGAAGGAGAGAAUAUCGCCAUGCUCCUGGAAAAAUGCUCCCACCUGGUUUGAGGACUAACGUUAAACAGACAUGAGUCUAAAUGCUGGAUUGUACUCUGAAUACAUUUAAAUUGAUCUCUUAAUCUGUGAAAUUUGCUGUCAACUAUAUUAAAUAUGAAAAUACAUUUUUUCAGAGUAGAUACAUUGAUAAUAUUUGGUGAACUUGAAAAUAUUUUAAAUUUAAUUUCUAUUUGCUUCUAUUUACUGUUACACAAGGUUGACAAUUUUUAAGGGAAAAUAUUCUUGGGUCAUCACUUUAUUUUUUCCCAAAAUUCUUUUUAGUCUGUUGUCACUUUUAGAUCUCUUCAUUUCUUUCAGCACUCUUAAGUUUGUUGUUCUUGUUCUUGUUCCUUUUUGUUCUGGAAUGUAACAAUUUUGCCAAUAAAUGUCUAGGUGUGUGUUCUUUAUGUUUAUUUUGCCUGGAAAAGAGGCAGUUUGAUCAGUCUUAAUCUAUUAUAAAUUUUAUGGCCAUGUGCUUUCUCCUUUUUAAAUUUACUUUUUACAGUGCUCACUUCGAGCACUAAAAUAUACUAACUUUAAAAUAUACUAAAUUUACUUUUUACAUAUAUCAAAGCAGUAUGUAAAUAUCAAAUACAGUAAUUUUAAAAAAUACUAGUUUGUUGCCUCACAUUUCCUAAAUCCCAAUUCUCACUCUUUACAACUACCUAUAUUUGAUUCAACCAUAAACAACCCUGGACUUAUUAUGGUUCAACUUCUAAGUUUUUCAUUUUAUAAUCAUGAGAAAACAACUCACAUUCGAUAGAAACUACACGUCAAAUGUUGAGUUCUGAUCUUCUCCUGACUACUGUCGCUAUCUGUGGAAAAUACUGUCUCCCGCGCUGGACAGUGGUAGCAAGACACAGCCUCCAGUCAGCCUUGGGACCACAGGGAAUCGGCUGAAACUCCACUGUGUUGUUAGACUAUGAUGUUCAGUAGAUUAGAUAGAUUAAACAUAUUAUCUACUUUUGUAUUUGUAAUUUGUAAUUCUAUAUUUGCAAUUUACCAUGGGUUCAUCAGGAAAUAAUCCCAUCGAAUGUUGAGGAGCAUUUAUAUUUCUUCUGCUACUUGCCACCGUAUUAAUCAUUCGUGCUUAUAGAUACAUUAUUUUCCAAAUUUAGAUAAUUGACUGUACUGUAGAUAACCUAUGUUUAUCCCUCUUACAACCUUCCCUCCAUAAUCCACAAUUCUUCAUCUCCUACCCAACUGACUACCUUCACAAAUUUCAGUUAAAUCAACUUUAAGUUUCUACAGUAUUAUGACCAUUAACUAAGUCAUACAUAACAAAUAAUGGCUCACUUCAAUUUAUAUCUUGCAGGCAUUCUUCCCAAGUAUCUCCUCUCUUCUCCCUAAGAUGGACUUGUGAAGCUUUCAAGCUUCAGCACAGUUGAUAUUCUUAGACUUCUCUUCAACAUCAUCAUUUGAAUUUCCUCACUCACUUCUGUAUAUGUAUUUUUUUCUGAAACCCAGAAAUGAGCAUCCUCACUGCCCAGACACUGGUUUAUAAACACCAUUCUCUAAUUUUAAAAAUUCAGAAAUUCUUGGUAAAUGGUCGGUUGCAAAUCUUGGGGGAAAAACGGUGAGAUGAAGCUAGAUCACCUCAUGUCAAAAGAAGUUAAACUGAGAAACCAAGGAGCUAAAGGACUUGCCAAAUCAUCGAUGCACUUCUGGAAGGUGGUAGAGCAAAGAUUCAAAUCUUAACAGUCAGG